rnacentral:rRNA from 1 species
UACGUAGGGGGCAAGCGUUGUCCGGAUUUAUUGGGCGUAAAGAGCGUGUAGGCGGCCUGACAGGUCUGCUGUGAAAACUCGAGGCUCAACCUCGAGAUGUCGGCGGAAACCGUCUGGCUAGAGUCCGGAAGAGGAGAGUGGAAUUCCUGGUGUAGCGGUGAAAUGCGCAGAUAUCAGGAAGAACACCUAUGGCGAAGGCAGCUCUCGUGGGACGGUACUGACGCUGAGACGCGAAAGCGUGGGGGAGCGAACAGG